rnacentral:rRNA from 1 species
UACGAAGGGGGCUAGCGUUGCUCGGAAUCACUGGGCGUAAAGGGUGCGUAGGCGGGGCUUUAAGUCAGGGGUGAAAUCCUGGAGCUCAACUCCAGAACUGCCUUUGAUACUGAGGAUCUUGAGUUCGGGAGAGGUGAGUGGAACUGCGAGUGUAGAGGUGAAAUUCGUAGAUAUUCGCAAGAACACCAGUGGCGAAGGCGGCUCACUGGCCCGAUACUGACGCUGAGGCGCGAAAGCCAGGGGAGCAAACGGG